CUCUUUCUGUGCUCUCAGGCAUGGUGGCCCGUAUAUGACUACCCACACAAAAUCAGGACACCAGGUACAAAGGGCUGCAGAUCCCUGUAAGGCAGCCAAACGUGUGUGGUGGCCUGUAACUGAACCAGUAUGAGAAUGAAGUUUUGAGAGAUGGCAGAUAGCACGCAGCAAGGACAUAGAACCUAAAGCCUUCAGGACAGGCUGCGAUUGUUUUCUGACCUUGGUGCUUGGAUGACAGACACGAGGAAAGACGCCCUCAGUAACAGUAAUAACAUCUCGUGAGUGCAGGGGAGUGAGCAAGCACAGCAGCCGCUAGCGUCAAGCGUCGUCGUCGGGCUGUCUGAAGGCUGAGGAGCCUCUGAUGACACCGAGAUCUGAGUUGGCAAUCAUGCCAGCCCAGCUUCCGAGCAUCACUG
rnacentral:lncRNA from 1 species